rnacentral:rRNA from 1 species
UGGGGAAUAUUGCACAAUGGGCGAAAGCCUGAUGCAGCAACGCCGCGUGAGUGAUGAAGGCCUUCGGGUUGUAAAGCUCUGUCUUUUGGGACGAUAAUGACGGUACCAAAGGAGGAAGCCACGGCUAACUACGUGCCAGCAGCCGCGGUAAUACGUAGGUGGCAAGCGUUGUCCGGAUUUACUGGGCGUAAAGGAUGCGUAGGCGGAUUUUUAAGUGAGAUGUGAAAUACCCGGGCUUAACUUGGGUGCUGCAUUUCAAACUGGGAAUCUAGAGUGCGGGAGAGGAGAAUGGAAUUCCUAGUGUAGCAGUGAAAUGCGUAGAGAUUAGGAAGAACACCAGUGGCGAAGGCGAUUCUCUGGACCGUAACUGACGCUGAGGCAUGAAAGCGUGGGUAGCAAACAGGAUUAGAUACCCUGGUAGUCCACGCCGUAAACGAUGAGUACUAGGUUUUGUAGGAGGUAUCGACCCCUUCUGUGCCGCAGUUAACACAAUAAGUACUCCGCCUGGGAAGUACGAUCGCAAGAUUAAAACUCAAAUGAAUUGACGGGGUC